rnacentral:rRNA from 1 species
CCAUACGACCGUACCGCAAACCGACACUGGUGCGCGAGAUGAGUAUUCUAAGGCGCUUGAGAGAACUCAGGAGAAGGAACUCGGCAAAUUGACACCGUAACUUCGGAAGAAGGUGUGCCCUAUUAGUGUGUAGUGAACAACGAAGCAUGAAUGGGUUGCAAAAAAUCGGUGGCUGCGACUGUUUAUUAAAAACACAGCACUCUGCAAACACGAAAGUGGACGUAUAGGGUGUGACGCCUGCCCGGUGCUGGAAGAUUAAAUGAUGGGGUGCAAGCUCUUGAUUGAAGUCCCAGUAAACGGCGGCCGUAACGAUAACGGUCCUAAGGUAGCGAAAUUCCUUGUCGGGUAAGUUCCGACCUGCACGAAUGGCGUAACGAUGGCCACACUGUCUCCUCCUGAGACUCAGCGAAGUUGAAAUGUUUGUGAUGAUGCAAUCUCCCCGCGGAAAGACGGAAAGACCCCAUGAACCUUUACUGUAGCUUUGUAUUGGACUUUGAACAGAUCUGUGUAGGAUAGGUGGGAGGCUUUGAAGCAGGGUCGCUAGAUCUUGUGGAGCCAACGUUGAAAUACCACCCUGGUGUGUUUGAGGUUCUAACCUAGGUCCAUUAUCUGGAUCGGGGACAGUGCAUGGUAGGCAGUUUGACUGGGGCGGUCUCCUCCCAAAGCGUAACGGAGGAGUUCGAAGGUACGCUAGUUACGGUCGGACAUCGUGACGAUAGUGCAAUGGCAUAAGCGUGCUUAACUGCGAGACUGACAAGUCGAGCAGAUGCGAAAGCAGGACAUAGUGAUCCGGUGGUUCUGUAUGGAAGGGCCAUCGCUCAACGGAUAAAAGGUACUCUGGGGAUAACAGGCUGAUACCGCCCAAGAGUUCAUAUCGACGGCGGUGUUUGGCACCUCGAUGUCGGCUCAUCUCAUCCUGGGGCUGUAGCCGGUCCCAAGGGUAUGGCUGUUCGCCAUUUAAAGAGGUACGUGAGCUGGGUUUAAAACGUCGUGAGACAGUUUGGUCCCUAUCUUCCGUGGGCGCUGCAGAUUUGAGGAAGCCUGCUCCUAGUACGAGAGGACCGGAGUGGACACACCUCUGGUGUAUCGGUUGUCACGCCAGUGGCAUUGCCGAGUAGCUAAGUGUGGAAGAGAUAACCGCUGAAAGCAUCUAAGCGGGAAACUCGUUUCAAGAUGAGAUCUGCCGGGGCCUUGAGCCCCCUAAAGAGUCGUUCAAGACCAGGACGUUGAUAGGUCAGGUGUGGAAACAA